GAUGAACGCUGGCGGCGUGCCUAAUACAUGCAAGUCGAGCGAACGGACGAGAAGCUUGCUUCUCUGAUGUUAGCGGCGGACGGGUGAGUAACACGUGGAUAACCUACCUAUAAGACUGGGAUAACUUCGGGAAACCGGAGCUAAUACCGGAUGAUAUUUUGAACCGCAUGGUUCAAAAGUGAAAGACGGCCUUGCUGUCACUUAUAGAUGGAUCCGCGCUGCAUUAGCUAGUUGGUAAGGUAACGGCUUACCAAGGCAACGAUACAUAGCCGACCUGAGAGGGUGAUCGGCCACACUGGAACUGAGACACGGUCCAGACUCCUAAGGGAGGCAGCAGUAGGGAAUCUUCCGCAAUGGGCGAAAGCCUGACGGAGCAACGCCGCGUGAGUGAUGAAGGUCUUCGGAUCGUAAAACUCUGUUAUUAGGGAAGAACAUAUGUGUAAGUAACUGUGCACAUCUUGACGGUACCUAAUCAGAAAGCCACGGCUAACUACGUG
rnacentral:rRNA from 1 species